ensembl:lncRNA
CUGGUGCCCAGUUGAAAUCAGUGGAGGAGUGUGCCAGGCAGGCAGGUGUGCAGGACCACAUGGUUCCUGAGAGUAGUAACAGGUGACAUCAUAAUUGAGAGAGAUUAAUUAGAAUCAAUUGAAAUUAGAAAGAUCUAGAAGGUAGCAAAAUGUAGGUGUCCUAUACACGGAACAAAUGUGAUUAUGGGCAGUGGUGAAAGUAGGCAUGGGGGAGGAAUAGUGUGAGUGACCCAGACUGGCGGUGUCAGUCAGACAGGACAAGCGGCAGUUUAGUGAGUUCCCAGCUUGGUCCGCAUUUCAGGUGUGACACCUGGAGAAAAUAGACGUAAACAAGUUAAGAGUCCUGAUUUUGAAAAGGCCAGGGUCCUGGUCAGAUUAUGGAAGAGGGGCUAAAACCUGGGGAGCCAAGGACUCAGACUCUACAACAGGGAAUUAGAACAAGGACUCAAUACCAGAUUGAAGGCAAAAGCCGAGAGGCCAGAACCAGGGCAUCUGAUCAGGACAAGUUACAGGAUAUCCUAAUUAUAUCCUGAACUACCGAAACAGGGCUGCUUAAGGCCUUCAGCUAGAGACAGGAUUUGACGCUGAAUCUGGGGAAGGGCCAAAGCUACAGAUGAAUGUCCAGUGGCCCAGUGACGGGGACUUAGAGCUCCUUAGAAGAGGCCAGUGCCUAUCCAGCUGCGCCUGCGCCUUCGUCUCCUGCAACAUGUAUGACCAAUGACAGCUAAACCAGUCCACCAUCUGCAGCCAGCUGGAUCCAGUGGGUCUUGGUGCCGCCUGCCAUCAGAAAUCUGAACUGUGCACUGAUCGCUUGCUCUGUGCUCCACUGCCAAGACCAAACCCGCUUUUUGCUCAGGCAUAUUCCUAACCACUGGACAUCAGGGAAGCCCCUGUUCAUGGAUUCUUGAGGGUUAAAGACCCCCAAGAUGAAUAAGCUAGCGUAAGAAGUGAAGAAUGGCUCUUGGAAUUGUGCAACGUGACAGUCCUGCUUGCCAGGAAAGCCAGGAAAGCCAGACCGAGGACAAAGGAAACAGAGGAGAGCAGCAACAAGAGAACAGAGGAAGAUGGAUAUAGCUCUGGUCAACUAGCCUGAAACUCACAAAGACCUCCUAUUGGAGAGACCUCCUUUCAGCAUCAUCACCCCACCUCAUUAGAAAAUCCACGAGGAAGAACUCAGUUUGACCCAGCCUGGCCAUAUGCCCAUCUCUGUGGCUGAAGGAGUAGAGUACCAUGAUUCACAGCCACCAGUGGGGGAGGAGCAGCUUCUCAAAAGCAAGAAGGAAAAGAGUGCUGGCCUGACAAAAACCACAGAGGGUAAACUCCUUGGACAGCCAGAUUUCUGUAAGUCAAGCUGCUGUGUAAUAUCAACCUUAUCAAAAGUUUCAAUAAACAUUUACAGAAUCAAUUUGAAAGUGCUGGUCUGCCUAGUGUUCUGCAGUGACGUAGCAUUUUACAUUACUGGGCAACUGGCAAAAAAAACGUAUUGAUGUGGUUUUCUUAGAACAUAGCAACGUGCCACUUGGAGAAAGAAAAGAAAGUGGCAGCCAGCAACCUGUCACCUGUGGAACCUUCAGCUCUAUAAAUACACUUCUUGUCCAGGCUUUUGAGCAAAGUGCCUUGAUUCAAUAGUAGUUGCU